rnacentral:rRNA from 1 species
AUGCGAGCGCAGGCUGAUCCUUGGUUCUCAGAAUACCUACUAAGGAUAGGCAAUGGAACUGAAGAGACAAUUAGCGACGAUUAUGUCCGUCUCCCUGACGAGAUUGUCAUUGGCUAUACCGAGGAUGAAAAAGCUAUUAACAUGCUCAUCGAAGAUGUCUUCCCAUCUUUGCAGGCCAAUGCUAGAUCGAGAGAGUACAUGAGUGCACGUGCUAUUCUUUCGACCAAGAACGAUCAUGUCGAUGACCUGAAUGACAAGAUGAUCUCCAGGUUUCCAGGCGAAGAAAGGUUAUACCAUAGUUUUGACUCAAUUGAGGAUGACUUGCAGAAUAAUUACACAAUUGAUUUUUUGAACUCAAUCACACCAAAUGGCUUGCCCCCGCAUGUUUUGAAAUUAAAGGUCAACUGUCCGGUCAUUCUGCUCCGGAACCUCGACCCUCAUAAUGGUCUAUGCAAUGGGACACGGCUUAUGAUCAGAGCCUUUCAGGAUAAUGCAAUCGAUGCGGAGAUUGUUGGUGGUCAGCAUGCUGGAAAGAGGGUGUUUAUACCUAGGAUCCCUAUGUCACCCUCAGAGGACAUCUCACUUCCUUUCAAACUUAAGAGAAAACAGUUCCCCAUCCGCCUGAGUUUUGCCAUGACAAUUAACAAGCUUAUG